AACGCGAAGAACCUUACCAAGACUUGACAUAUACAGGAAAGGCUAAGAGAUUAGUCCCCUCUUCGGAGCUUGUAUACAGGUGAUGCAUGGUUGUCGACAGCUCGUGUCGUGAGAUGUUAGGUUAAGUCCUGCAACGAGCGCAACCCUCGUGAUUAGUUGCCAGAGAAUGGAACUCUAAUAAGACUGCCGUAGUUAAUACGGAGGAAGGUGAGGAUGAUGUCAAAUCAUCACGUCCCUUAUGUCUUGGGCUACACACGUACUACAAUGGGUGUUACAGAAAGAAGCGAAACCGCGAGGUGGAGCAAAACUCAGAAAAGCACCCCUAGUUCGGAUUGGAGGCUGCAACCCGCCUCCAUGAAGCUGGAAUUGCUAGUAAUCACAGGUCAGCAUACUGUGGUGAAUACGUUCCCGGGUCUUGUACACACGC
rnacentral:rRNA from 1 species